CGUGUAGGCGGUUUAAUAAGUCAGAUGUAAAAGCCCCCGGCUCAACCGGGGAUGGUCAUUUGAAACUGUUAGGCCUGAGUGCGAGAGAGGGUAGUGGAAUUCCCAGUGUAGCGGUGAAAUGCGUAGAUAUUGGGAAGAACACCAGUAGCGAAGGCGGCUACCUGGACCAAUACUGACACUGAGGUGCGAAAGCGUGGGGAGCAAACA
rnacentral:rRNA from 1 species